CUGGACAAGUUUCGCUUGAAAAGGACCUCAUACUUCCUUACGUUGCAAAUCUCGAUCUAUGUGAUGCCAAAUGUUUAUCAGAAAGUGAAUUGAAGAGAAGAACACUCCUAUUCUUUCGUGGGAGGCUUAAAAGGAAUGCUGUAAGAUGUUAUGCUAGUAUAUGAAGUGAUUCGUCUUUAUAACAAUUUGGUUAGUUUAUGUUUUUUAAUUAGACAAUGUGUUUAGAUAUCUAAAUUUGGAGGAUGGCUACAUAUUGAGCUAUAUUACAAAUGUCUCUGAGGUUUCUUCUAUUCUUCGUAUAUUAGUCAAAAUAUUCUUGUAUUAGGUGCAAGGACUUGAGUUACAUGCUACAAGAGUGGACAUCUUCUGAGCCUGCUAUUAGUUUGUGCAAGACAUGGUUAUGAGACUGUAUGAUUCAUCCGGCCUUCAUGAACAGUUCUUCUGUAGCGUCACUAACAUAAAUGACAAUGUUUAUUUUNUAACUAAAAGAAAAGCGUCAAAAAAAGAGAGAGAGCUGUCUACUUUCAAGUUUCAACACUCCAGCUGAAACUAACUCCGUCGCUUCUUCAUCAAAAAUGGCGGGUGGGAGAUCGUACGGAAACCCUAGAUUCAGAUCCCCAAUCAUCAUCACCCUCCUCUUCAUCAUCUCUCUCCUCAUCUACAUAUCUCUCUCUCCAUCUCGCCCAAAUCUCCCCUCAACUAAAUCACAAGUCCCAAUGCUCAACCCUACCGUCGAUUACUCCUUCCUCACCUCCCUCCAGAAAUUCCUCUCCUCUCCCUCCGAAUCUCGCCAAUAUCGAGACGAUUCAGUUGCGAAUACGGCGAGUCAGGCUGAUGUGAAGAAACUAGAUGACUUGAUGUGGAGAAGAGAGACUGAAAAGCUCUACGAAGAUUCGGCUUAUCCUGGUGUUUCAGUUGUUAGAGUUUAUGUUUACGAAAUGCCGGAUAAGUUUACUUAUGAUAUGCUGAGAUUGUUCUGGAAUACGUAUCAGGAGACUGUUAAUCUUACAUCCAAUGGUAGCCCCGUUCAUCGACUUAUCGAACAGGUUUUUUAAACUAAUGCAUGAUUUUUUACGCGUUCUUAUGUUAUCUAGUACCUUAAUUAGUCCACAUUGUGUGUAUUUGUAUUAGUUUUCAGUUGACGCGCUUAAUUGAUCUACAUUGUGUUUGAUUGAUCUACAGUGUGUGUAUGCUAUAUAGGUAGAUUAUAAGUCAGGUUCCUCUUGUUUUGGUCUCUGAUUGGAUAACAUGACCUUGUUAUUCUGAUGCAGCACUCGAUUGACUAUUGGCUGUGGGCAGAUUUGAUUGCGCCUGAAUCACAAAGGCUUUUGAAGAAUGUUGUUAGAGUUUACCGGCAGGAGGAUGCUGAUCUGUUUUACAUUCCUUUCUUCACAACAAUAAGUUUCUUCUUGUUGGAGAAACAGCAAUGCAAGGCGCUUUAUAGGGUGUGAGUGCCUUUUCAAAGGCUUAGCUCUUUUGUAUUUUAAAGUUUUUCUAUACCUUGUUAUCUUGAUUUGACUUUGAUUUUUGACUUCGAACUGCUGCCUUUUAGGAGGAAGAAGUUUGUAGCAUUCUGACCUACAAUUUUGUAUCACUAAAUGGUUAACCCAUGAUGAGAAGCUGGGUUCAACUUUGUAUAGUUUAUGAGUUUUCUCAUAGGUUAUAUACUGCGUGACAAGUAAAUCCGGCUCUAAGUUCAUGUGCUUUGGCAGCACCUAUUGUACUUUAUUUUUCUAAAAAAACAAAGGAAAUUUUACAUUUAUUACUUACGCAACUUAUGAUAUGUAGGUUAUAAUACAUUUGUCAACGAAGAUUAAUGACGAAUCAUGAAUGUAGGAUUAGCAUUUAGGUAAUACAUUAUUACUUGCACCAUUUCUUAUGCUUUGAAGUGGCCUAAAUUUAACUUGUGUGCCUAAAAGAGGAUGGGUAGACCAUAGGUAAUCUUGGCUAACACCUUUAAUCCUUGUUAGAUGGUAUUGAUUAUUGGAAACAGUGCUUAAUGAAAUCGUUUAGUUUGUGGAACCUAUCAUUCCGAUGACACUUGCAUUAUCAACUGUUUAGUAAUCUAUACUUUUUAGCUCCUUAGUGGAGCUGAACGGGAAGGUUUGAGGGUCGUGCUAGUUGCAUUAGUAGAUGCUAUUAUGUUUAACUGAGUACGUAGUGAAGAGAGAACAAGCAAAUUUGGGAAAGUCUGUACAUGCAAGUAUCAGUUUGACAAGUAAAUUUCCAUAUUCUCUAAAAAUUCUGAAAGCAUAAUUGCCUUACCCAUGAUGUCUGUGUUGAUGAAGAUUACUGCACUAUAAUCAAGUUGACUUUGCUUUCCGUAGUUGGUGCAAUGGUGCUUACGUUGUUACAGCCGUACAUGUAUAGUAGUAGAUUGCAACAUUUUUUGGAAUUUGCUUUCUGUAUGCAAAAAGUAUCAUCAUUUUAGUUUGACAAGUUCUCAUUAAAUUUAUUAUCACUGCUUUAUCUUAUUUAAUCUGGAAAUGUACAAUGUAGGAAGCUUUGAAGUGGGUAACAGAUCAGCCGGCUUGGAAUCGUUCCGGAGGAAGAGAUCACAUACUUCCAGUUCACCAUCCUUGGUCUUUCAAGUCUGUUCGGAAAUAUAUGAAAAAUGCUAUUUGGUUGCUACCGGAUAUGGACUCCACUGGGAACUGGUUAGUAUCCAGAUCAACUGUAAACACCUGCUCGUUAUAAUGGUAUGUUUCGAGCACAUUGAUAAUUCCACUUAAUGUGUCAGGUACAAGCCUGGACAAGUUUCGCUUGAAAAGGACCUCAUACUUCCUUACGUUGCAAAUCUCGAUCUAUGUGAUGCCAAAUGUUUAUCAGAAAGUGAAUUGAAGAGAAGAACACUCCUAUUCUUUCGUGGGAGGCUUAAAAGGAAUGCUGUAAGAUGUUAUGCUAGUAUAUGAAGUGAUUCGUCUUUAUAACAAUUUGGUUAGUUUAUGUUUUUUAAUUAGACAAUGUGUUUAGAUAUCUAAAUUUGGAGGAUGGCUACAUAUUGAGCUAUAUUACAAAUGUCUCUGAG
rnacentral:lncRNA from 1 species